rnacentral:rRNA from 1 species
GAUGAACGCUGGCGGCGUGCCUAAUACAUGCAAGUCGAGCGAACAGACGAGGAGCUUGCUCCUCUGACGUUAGCGGCGGACGGGUGAGUAACACGUGGAUAACCUACCUAUAAGACUGGGAUAACUUCGGGAAACCGGAGCUAAUACCGGAUAAUAUAUUGAACCGCAUGGUUCAAUAGUGAAAGACGGUUUUGCUGUCACUUAUAGAUGGAUCCGCGCCGCAUUAGCUAGUUGGUAAGGUAACGGCUUACCAAGGCAACGAUGCGUAGCCGACCUGAGAGGGGGAUCGGCCACACUGGAACUGAGACACGGUCCAGACUCCGACGGGAGGCAGCAGUAGGGAAUCUUCCGCAAUGGGCGAAAGCCUGACGGAGCAACGCCGCGGGAGUGAUGAAGGUCUUCGGAUCGUAAAACUCUGUUAUUAGGGAAGAACAAAUGUGUAAGUAACUAUGCACGUCUUGACGGUACCUAAUCAGAAAGCCACGGCGAACUACGU